CAGCUGAUAACCCUUUUUGACUGAAUUUAUCUUUUGUGUGCAUCUUGUUCAUGAUUAGCCUGUGCUGUUAGGCCUAAAGCAUGUUCUAAGAUGAUAGAAGAAAAAAAUAAAAGCAGAUCUAAUGAUGUUUUGUAAACAUCCAGAUAUGAUGACAAUUUCUUCCCAGAAGACUGACAAACCCAGAACUGAACCACUCUUGAGAGUUCCCCUGAUAGUCAAAGAUGAAGAUAUAUUCAGAAAUGCAACAUGUUAACCUACUUCUGGCAUAAAUUCAGACAUACAACUGCUGCCUGUUGA
rnacentral:lncRNA from 1 species